rnacentral:rRNA from 1 species
GCAGUGACAUCCCGACAAAGGGGCAUUACGUGUGCUGCGCUUGCAAACCCUCCCACACACACGCACACCCAUGCGUAUUGUUUAGCGCGCUCUCCAUCUCUCUCGAAAAAGGCUGUCUCUCUGGUAGAGGCGCACGCACAGUGAUCACAAAACUCCAUAUUGUGUGAGUGCGUGCGUCCAAAAGUCCGUGUCCGGUUACGCUCAAAAGCGUUGUUCGUUAUGUGCAUGAGAAAAAGGAGAAGCGGGGUGUGUGUGUUUUGGUUUUUCUGGGUGGUGGUGGGGGCGGCGUGUGAGUUAGCGAUUAUUGCAUGAGGGCCCCCUGCGUCUGGUUCUAUGUCUGGCGAAAGGGAAUGGGGACUUUGUUCCUUGACCGGUCCCGGCACCCUCGAUAGGCUUUGCCAAUCAAUGGUCCAUGCAAAUGGAACCAGGCCACAGCCGCCGGCAGUCGCCCGAGGAAGAGUUUUCUUUUCUGCUUAACGCACGAGAUCAUCCCUGGAAACAGUUCGGCUGGCGAAAGGGUGCCCCGUUGCGGCAGAGCGCCACGACUGUCGUGCGCGUCUCGGUGUUCCUGCCGGUCCGUGAAGACGUGGUCGAGGGGAUUGCUCUUGUAUCAACGAAACGCCCGACAAGUUCGGGACGGUCCGUACCCUAUAUCCGCAUCUGGUCUCCAAGGUUCGUAGCCUCUGCAGAGUCAGACACAUGUAGGUAAGGGAAGUCGGCAAACUCGAUCCGUAACUUCGGGAAAAGGAUUGGCUUUGAGGGCCGAGCUG